AGUUGUCUCCAUUUACUCGACUUUAGAUAUUUUAGAUGAUGUUUGUUUACUCACUGAGUUUAUAUAAACUCACCACCUUCCUUUCCACUCAUUCUAAGAUCAGGACAGUCCGUAAUAUAGCUAAUUACGUCAAGGGUUAUUAUUGGACUCGCCUCCUCAAAAAUUGUAAUGAAUGUCUAUCGGGACAUCGUGACGGUUGUCAUGGGCUCGAGGAAAGUACCUGGUCGUGACAGAAUACAUCCAACACUUUAGAGAAAGGGUGUUAGAUAUACAAUAGUGUCAUGAAAAGAAGGAGUUGGUGAAGGUUUGCAUUCAAGAAAUGUUUAAUGAGUAUACGCUAUACUUGGAGAAUUUUACCUCUCCUAACUUUUGCUACCUCGGUGGAAGCAGCAUGAAGAACCAAUAAUAUGGUUCUCAAACAAAAGGGAGCUACUAGUUUCAAUAGAAGGAAUAAUCCAAUAGUGAAUACAAUUCAAGAAGAAGGUAAAAAAAGAAAAGGUCUUUUCAGAAAGGAAUAUUCCAGAAGAAGAUGUAAGCAAGAGAGUUAUUGAUUACGAAUUAUAAGGUCCAGAACAACCCACUUAUUGCUCAUGUAUGAUACUUAUAUGACUUUGACUCUCCAAUACUUUAUGUAUUGAAAUUUGAUAUUUGGAAAGAAAAAGAAAAUUCAUAUUUAGCCUCUA